CAGAGGGUGCGAGCGUUAAUCGGAAUUACGUGGGCGUAAAGCGCGCGUAGGCGGCUUUGCAAGUCGGGUGUGAAAUCCCCAGGCUUAACCUGGGAACCGCAUUCGAGACUGCAUUGCUAGAGUAUGGGAGAGGGAAGUGGAAUUUCCGGUGUAGCGGUGAAAUGCGUAGAUAUCGGAAGGAACAUCAGUGGCGAAAGCGACUUCCUGGACCAAUACUGACGCUCAUGUGCGAAAGCGUGGGGAGCAAACAGGAUUAGAUACCCUGGUAGUCCACGCCAUAAACGAUGAGAACUGGAUGUCGGGAGGGUCUGCCUCUCGGUGUCGUAGCUAACGCGUUAAGUUCUCCGCCUGGGGAGUACGGCCGCAAGGUUG
rnacentral:rRNA from 1 species